rfam:Picea glauca, whole genome shotgun sequence.
AAUGUAAUUCCUACAACAUUAAUGCACUAGAUCUCAUUAUAAAUUCACAGUUAAGCACACUUGAGCUAGAGUAGUACUCGGAUGGGUGACUUGCCAGGAAGUCCUAGUAUUUUACAUGC